GGGCGGCUAACUCAGCGGUUAGAGUGCCAUCCUCACACGGUGGAAGUCACAGGUUCGAAUCCUGUGCCGCCCA
rnacentral:tRNA from 1 species